AUCUAGCGAAACCACAGCCAAGGGAACGGGCUUGGAAUAAUUAGCGGGGAAAGAAGACCCUUUUGAGCUUGACUCAAUCUGACAGUGUAGGGAGACAUAAGAGGUGUAGAAUAAGUGGGAGAUAUUAGACUUCGGCCCGGUAUCGACAAUGAAAUACCACUACUCUUAUUGUUUCCUUACUUACUUGAUUAAAUGGACGUGUAUCAUUUCCUAGCCAUUAUACGGAUAUAAUUAUUAUGUCUUAUGGUAUUGGGUUUUGAUGCAAGCUU
rnacentral:rRNA from 1 species